rnacentral:ncRNA from 1 species
UUUUUUUGUUUGACUUUGGUUUUUUGGGUGAAAUUGAAGAAUUUUUUGAAGGUGGAUUUAAGAUUUUAAAAUUUAUUGAGCGAGCCAGAUUAGUACCUGGUUAGAUAAAAGUUAAAAGGGCAGAAGUAAAGUUGUAUUUAAACUGUAAGAAUAUUGGCAGGUUAUUAAAUUAUCUUUGGAGGCUGAGUAGUAAUUGAGAGCCCUCAUUUACAACUUUUAGUUUAGGCUCAUGUAUGAUCGUUUAUUUUAUUCUUAAGGAUUGUAAUUUUAGUUGUUUUUCUGUAAAAAUAGAUAUAUACUUGGCUUAUAUAGAAAAUUUAAUUUGGCCUACAGUAUAAUAUUAUUUGGAUGGUACUGGUAGUAGGUACCUGAAAUUGUAAAAGACAGUAAGUUUCUCUUAAUGUGGGACUGAAGUUUAUUUAAUAACGGUACAAAUCAUCCAUCAAUUGCCUAAAGGGGAGUAAGUUG